rnacentral:lncRNA from 1 species
GUGGUUCUCUCCCUGCUCUGCAGAUACUAAGCGCUCUGCCUUCCCACAGAUUUUUCGAGUAAUUAGUUGCUCGCUGCCAGUAAACCCAGCCACUUUUGAGGGACAACACGCAUCCUCCUCCCAGUCAAUCUUGCUGUUUUUGAGUUGCUGCCAAUUUUGCUUCUUCUGGGAGCUGGCAGAUGGGUCCUGUCUCUUUCGGCUGAUGAAGAUGUAGAGGCUCAGAGCUCGGAGUUAAACUCUAACGAGGAACAAAGUUGGACAGAACCUCCUAGGUCUCUUCUAGCCCUAAUCUUGCCAGUAUUCCCCAAGGUGCUAGCACAGAGCCUCAGUCAUCGCGCACACACAGCAGCCCUGAACAUGGCAACCCGGGGCAACAUAUUCUGAUGAUGGCCUGGGGCCAGAGUCUGAGAUCUUUGCAGAGAGAAGCGCUCCUGUGGACUUCAGGCAAGGAGUGACCCAUCACCGACAUUCAGUUCGCUGGCCUUGCCUCGGGCUCCGUCACAUGAAAUAGUGGCUUAUCAUGUUUUUCCAUCAUAUGAUGUGGUCAAGAGAGCCCAAGCACUCACCUGCAAAACUCACUCUUCAUUCCGGAUACUUCUGCUCUACCCCUUUCUAGUUCUUGGCACGAAAUGCAAAGUUCCCUUCAGAAAGAAGACCUUGAAAGACAACUUGGUAAGUGCAGCUAUAGAGCUGAGAACAAUGGCACAUCCAUUACCAAAUUAAGGAUUUAAUUUCUGCUGUUACUGUGGCUUCCAGAGUUCAACAAUAAUAAUGCUGGUGAUAUCAGCUGUCUGUGGUGAAAAUAUAUGGGGAAGAAAUCUCAUAUAGGAGUUCCUGUUGAGGCACAGCAGGAAUGAAUCCGACUAGGAACCAUGAGGUUGCAGGUUUGAUCCCUGGCCUUGCUCAGUGGGUUAACGAUCCGGUGUUGCCGUGAGCUGUGGUGUAGUUUGCAGAUGUGGCUCGGAUCCUGCGUUGCUGUGGCUCUGGCUUAGGCCGGCUGCUACAGCUCUGAUUCGACCCCUAGCCUGGAAACCUCCAUAUG